UACGUAGGGGGCUAGCGUUGUCCGGAAUCAUUGGGCGUAAAGAGCGCGUAGGCGGCCCGGUAAGUCCGCUGUGAAAGUCGGGGGCUCAACCCUCGAAUGCCGGUGGAUACUGGCGGGCUAGAGUGCGGAAGAGGCGAGUGGAAUUCCUGGUGUAGCGGUGAAAUGCGCAGAUAUCAGGAGGAACACCAAUUGCGAAGGCAGCACGCUGGGACGUAACUGACGCUGAGACGCGAAAGCGUGGGGAGCAAACAGG
rnacentral:rRNA from 1 species